rnacentral:tRNA from 1 species
GCGGAGGUGGCGGAAUAGGAAGACGCGCUAGAUUGAGGGUCUAGUGGCCAUAUCGGCCGUGCGGGUUCAAGUCCCGCCCUCCGCACCA